GGGGGAUGAGACCAUAUCGAGGAUGCACUUUGUCGUUAUUAAGGUUAAAAACACCAAGAUAGCUGGGUGCGGUGGCUCAGGCCUGUAAUCCCAGCACUUUGGGAGGCCGAGGUUGAAGGAAGAGAAAGACCCUCUCAUAUUAUUUUAUAUUGUUUUAUACUCAGUACCUGUUUUAAGCAAAAACAGCAAGGAAGUAAAACCAAAGACAGGCAGCUCGGUGCCAGGCCUGAAACCAGGCCUGGGCCUGCCUGGCCUACACCCAGUAGUUAAAAAUCAACUCAUGACUUAGAAACCGGUGUUAUUCAUAGAUUCCAGACAUUGUAUAGAAGAACACUGUGAAACUCCCUGCCCUGUUCUGUUUCUCUCUGACCACCGGUGCAUACAGCCCCUGUCACGUACCCCCUGCUUGCUCAAAUCAAUCACGACCCUUUCAUGUGAAAUCUUUAAUGUUGUGAACCCUUAAAAGGGACAGAAAUUGUGCACUCGGGGAGCUCGGAUUUUAAGGCAGUAGCUUGCCGAUGCUCCCAGCUGAAUAAAGCCCUUCCUUCUACAACUCGGGGUCUGAGAGGUUUUGUCUGCGGCUCAUCCUGCUACAAGCCUGCACUAGGCAACGCUGAAGCCACAGAAGACACCGCAGUGGGAAAACCAGCAUAAGCCGCUGCCCCCAAGGAACCUCAAAGCCCAGGCAGAGGACCAGCCAUCCCAGUCGCACAGAUGGUGUUGGAACCGAAUUGGAGGACACCUGGAUGGUGUCCACUGCUUGGUGUUUGGGGGAAAACCCCCCACACAUUUGGUCACAGAAGUCUUCUGUGUUGAUGAUUUUUUGUGGUGUGACAGCAGAGGGAAGACACAGUUUGAGGUGGGAUUUAUCCUCUUUAAGACAACUUCCUGACCUCGGACACAUAGAAGGCUGCUGAAGGCAAUGGUGGAUCCUUUCAUUUCAAACAAAAUCACAUUCAAUUUUUUUGAGAGCUGCAGGCCUGGGUGGUGUUAAAUUGUGUCAUUUAGUAUUAAAGAAACACGAUAAAACUUUCAAAG
rnacentral:lncRNA from 1 species